UGUAAAAGAAAUGAAGCAUUGUGUAAAUUGUUUGAGAAUCUUAUUUUGAAUGACACUACUAAAACAUAGAGAAACAUCUGGUUCAUUUUGAGAAAAUUGUGAAAGAAAUACCCUGGUUGUUGCUUAUUCCAGUGGGAUGUUGGAUUGAGGAAUGGAUUUGCUGUUAUUUGCUAUGCAAUAAUCAAUGAGCAGCUGAUAGAGUUUCAAAUUGAUCUUUUGUCCAAUGAUAUAGUUGUAUAGUAACUUUAUGAAACUUCGAGUUUAAGGAAUGACUAUAUUUUACGUGAAAGAGGCAUGUCAAUGCAUUUUUACUUGCCAAAAAUAAAAGAAGCAUGAUCAAAUAUCUUCAUAGCUAAUGUCAGCAUUAACUAUAAUUCCUAUUAGCUUCUUAAAGGUAAAAAAUAAAAUAUAUUUCAAAUUAACCUGCUAGGAUGUCGAGUAUAGCAAAAACAAAGCAAAGUUGCCUUAGAGAGUUCAAUUGUUACGGUAAGAAAGGCAACUAUGUGUCUGGAGAAAAUGCAUUACUUUUCCAUUAUUUUUUCUUUUGAAUAUGGUCUUUGCUUUUAAUGUUAUUGUAGCGUUUGAGAAUAAAUUUUCAUAUGCAGUUUCCAAAGGUCUGAUAGUGCUUUCCUGUUGAAAGAUGUUAGGAAUGGUUUCCUAUUUGGAAGACUCCUGAGCGCAAACAGACAGUGGCAAAUAGAUAUACAGGUUAGCUUUACGAUUUAAAUUCAAUUUGAGAUUUACUUUUCAGUUUGGUAAUACUUGCAUGCUUUUAGAAAGAGAAAAAAAGGCUUUUGAGAGAGGCCAUUAAUUUGGUCAUCAAAAUACCAUCUUUUAAGUGUAAAAUAGUCCAGUCUACUUACCUUCUAAAAAAAGUGUACAAUAGUUCGUUAUAACACAGUUUCUGACUAACAUCUUUAACUCUAUGACAUUUAAACAAAAUUUAUUUCUAUAUUUUCAAAUCAAAACUCGUUGUUCUCUCUUUCUUUUUGACUGUUCCUUUUAAAUUUAAAGGCCACGAAGAUCUUCAGUCGUCAUCUUAGAAGCCUUAACAAGCACUUGGAAUGAUUAGUUUUUUAGGAAUAUCUAAAUAGUACAGGAUCGUUGUGCUUGUUAUUUACUUAUAUUUAUCUGUUAUAUAUUCUCGUUGUUUUGAUCUUGCCUAUGCACAGAAUGCAUUUGGUGCCAGGCAGAGAUGAAUCAUAUGUAUACUUUUUUCGCCUCUUUCACAUGUCUAACAACAGAUAACAUCAACGAGUGGAUUAAACUUUUUCUGUCCAACUCUUAACUAACGAAGGCAGAUAAGACCAUGCACAGGGAAUUAAACUACUGAGCAGGACAGAAAAUGGAGAAUGGAACCUAAAAUAGAACAAGAAAUUCUUGAAUUUUGUCAUUAUAAUAGAUUUAUGUCUUGAAUGUUGUUAUGAAAAGCUAAAAACGCAAAAUUUAGUGUUUGCACCUUAUUCAAUUGUAGUUUUUGCAAUUUUAGCUUUUUUAUAGCUUUCAUUUCUACUGCUUGUUUUUUUUAAUUGGUUUUAUAUUUUUGUGUUAUUCUUUAUCACCAAAUAACUAUCUUAAGCACCAAAAAAUUAACAAGUACAUCAAAAGGGAUAGUGUUGGGGCCGUAGUGAUCACGGGCCAUACGUUAUCUAGUAUAUAUAUAGCAGGUGAGGAUACAUGGAGGUAGCAUGCUUGAUCUUCCCUUUCCAAUUUAGCCAAAAGAAACAAGUACACUGCCAAUAAAGCUCCACAUGGUUUUGCAAACUGGAUAUAGAGAAAUUGUUUUGUUCCCAAAUAUCUGCCUCUCUACCUAAGGGUAGGGGUAAGGUCUGCGUACACACUACCCUCCUCAGACCCCACUAAGUGGAAUUAUACUGGGUUGUUGUUAUUGUUGUUGUUUCGUUCCCAAAUAUGACUCGAAGAAGCAGUUGAAAAUGUCGAGUUAGAGUGCCUCAUUCCUAUUUGUCGGGCCAGUUCAUGUUUAUUAUCAAUUUUUUAUUACAGGAACUUGUGUGUUGUGUAGUGCUUUGAGAACGUCGAAUGUGAAGAUCUCUAUUUCUCACAGUGCAUCUCGUAAUUACCACUAGCAAGUGCACUUACA
rnacentral:lncRNA from 1 species